rnacentral:misc_RNA from 1 species
AAAUCCAACAGUAGCAGAGCCCCUAAAAGUCAGCAACAACAACCAUAAAAUUACCAUUAGAUAAGUCAUUAAUUUACGCAUGAACAUCAGACAAAUUGACGUAGAAUUAACAGAGCAAUAACAAAGCAAGACCAUCACAACUUCAGCAUUGUUUUUACAAGAGAAUUUAAAAAUAAAAAAAAAUACCAAAGAUGCUAAAUCUACCCAACACUCUAUUCAAAGUUUACAAAUAUUCAGCAGAUGCAUGAAAAAUCAAAUCCCACUUGGGUAGAGUCACAGUACAAUAACAUCAAUCUUUGCCAAAGGAACAAACUAGGACUCACAGCCAGCACAGUUUCAGCAGUUAGAAAGCCAAAACAUCACAAUUUCAACACUCAAUAACAGAAUAACAACAAAAUUUCAG